rnacentral:rRNA from 1 species
UACGUAGGGUGCAAGCGUUAAUCGGAAUUACUGGGCGUAAAGCGUGCGCAGGCGGUGAUGUAAGACAGAUGUGAAAUCCCCGGGCUUAACCUGGGAAUGGCAUUUGGGACUGCAAGGCUGGAGUGCGGCAGAGGAGACUGGAAUUCCUGGUGUAGCAGUGAAAUGCGUAGAUAUCAGGAGGAAUACCGAUGGCGAAGGCAGGUCUCUGGGCUGACACUGACGCUCAUGCACGAAAGCGUGGGGGAGCAAACAGG